rnacentral:lncRNA from 1 species
GGUUCCCAGACUAGGGGUCGAAUCGGAGUUACAGCUGCCAGCCUACACCAGAACCACAGCAAUGCAGGAUCCGAGCUGUGUCUGCGACCUACACCACAGCUCACGGCUACACUGGAUCCUUAACCCACUGAGUGAGGCCAGGGAUCGAACCCGCAACCUCAUGGUUCCUAGUCGGAUUUGCUAACCACUGAGCCACGACGGGAACUCCAAUCUUGAAAUUCUUAAUAGCUUUUGCAUAAGAGACCCCUCAUUUUUAUGAGGCCCCACAAAUUACGUAGCUGGUCCUGCAUCUUCCAAUAGCGUUUUAGCAAGAGUUAAGUCUGAGUGUGUGAAAGAGGCCCCAAGAGAUGAUUCCUCCCCCCACCCGCCUCCUUCUUUCCUUCCUUCCCCAAACAUCAAUGGAUGGCAGGUGCUGUCGCAGACACUGGGAUUGAGCAGUGAGCCAGAGUCGCUGCCUUCCUGCCUUCAAGGGAAGGAGGCUGAAGACAAACAACCAGAAGAGAACUUUGUUGGCGAUAAGUGUCAACGGCAAAGGGAUAGAUGAUGACGGGGGAGACUUUUAAGCUGUUGGGGUGCAGGGUUGGAAGAGCUCCCUGAGGCUUUGAUCAGAGACCUGAAUGAAGGGAGGGCAUGCACUGUGUGGAAUAUCAGAGGGAAAGAGAGUCCCAGGCAGAAGGACCAGCAGGUGCAAAGGCCCUGAGGUAGGUGUGUGCUUACCCCGUGGCAGAGACCAGUGUGGUGAGAGCUGGCCAGAGGAGGUGGGUGGAGGGAGAUGAGCUCAGCAAGGUGCAACAGGGCUUAUAAACUGUUGUGAGGCUGUGGUGGGGGUAAGUGAAUGACCAGGUGGGUAGAGGAUUCCUUCAACCAGAGCUGGUUGUUUGUGGCCCCCUAUGCUUAGUACCUGGAGGCCAGAAUGGCAGGGGGCGGGGGAGGAUGGUGUUUCAUUGUCUUCUGGACACUUGGUGACAAGUUGUCCCUGCACAGGGACAAGUGGCAGCCUCAAGCGCGAGCCCUCUGCUGUGGUUGAGGGAUGGUUCCUGUCUUAGCUCUCCACCGCCUCCUCUGAAGCCUGGGCCUCCGCGUCUCGAUCUCUGACAAGUUGUGCCACCCAAGAGCCAACCCAGGAGUUCCCAUUAUGGCUCAGUGGGUUAAGAAACCAACGAGUAUCCAUAAGGAUGUGGCUUCAGUCCCUGACCUCACUCAGUAGGCUAAGGAUCUGCAAUUGCCAUGAGCUGUGGUGUAGGUUGCAGACACAGCUCGAAUCUGUGUUGCUAUGGCUGUGGUGUAGACCGAUGAGACCCCUAGCCUGGGAAUUUCCAUAUGCUGCAGGUGAGGCCCUAAGGGGGGAAAAAAAGGCCAACCCAAAGGUACCCGAUGGUGUCUGUGCCAGAAGAGCCCCCACGCUGGCCAUUGCAAUGUGGCUUGGGUGAGCCUUGUUCCCUUUCUCCAAGUGACCUCCGAGAUGCAUGGUGUGCAGGCUGGGGAGUGGGACGGCCAGGCAGCCUCUGCCUCCAGGUCCCAUGGGCAGAGCUGGAAGCUGCUCUGUGCUGUUCUGUGCUUGUGGCUAAACAGAGACCCUUACUCCCAGCCGGUGACCUCAGGGCAGAGGGUCCUGGGGAAAGUGUCCCCUCCCUGGGACCCCAUCUCCUCAUCUGCACUUGGGGAUACUCAUUGAGGAUUCAGUGAGAAGGCAGGUGAAGCACAUAGACUGUGGGAAACCUUCACUCCCUGGGUCCUCGUGGAAGUGGGGACCUGGCCUGAGUGUCACCUCUCAGACCCAGACCCUGGCCACAGCCAGCCCCCUCCCCCCCGCCCCCGAGAAAUGAACUGCAGAGAGUGAAACAACCAGAACAUGCUGUGUGUGACAGGUCCUCGGAGCCACCAUCUGUACCAUGAAGGGGACGGACUCAAGGACCUCGGGGGCCCCCUCGGGCCUUGAGAAUCCAAGAUGGGAAAGUGACAGCCUCCUGCAGGAUGAUACCACUGCUCCUGCAGACUGCAAGCCCCCAUCUUCACCUUGCGGCCCUAGCAGGUCACCCCCAAAAGGAACUGGCCUGCGGGCAGAAGGCCCUGGCUGUCAGUCCUUCUAUCACAGACCUGGCCCUCCCGCUAUCACACAUGGGAAAGGAACCGUGUCAGGCCGUUGUUACAAGCCCAGACUCUGCAGCCAGCCCUGCUGCUUUCUAGCUGUGUGACCUUGAGUGAGUGACAUAACCUCUCUGAGCCUCAGUCGUCACAGCUGAAAAAUGGGUAUAAAAAUAGCAUCUACUGCAUAGGGUUGUAGGAGCCUGUGAGGACCGUGCGUGGUGCCCGCAGCCCUGUAGACGGGCAACACGUUCCUGUCCUGGUGAACUGGUUCCACAGCUGAGGACGGGGUCUCCUUCCCAGGCCCUGGCUUCUCAGCCACCCCCAGAACCCCUGCCUGAGAACCAGUGUCCUCUGGGAGCAGCUGGGCAGGUGUAACCUCGUGACAAGGACAAGACAUCUGGAAAGAAAGGAUUGCAUUGAACAUCGCUGAUGAUGGGGAGUAGGGGACCCCUAAAGCCGUAGUUUGGAGGGAAACUUGACCUUGAAAGGGUGUGAUAACCUAAAAAGAGAGCAGGGCUGAGGCCUGGACCGUCGAACUCCCCCAGGCUGGCUCUGAUGCUGACUCCCACUGCUCUCCUGUCCUUCGGAAUCUGGUUUCCUUCUCCUGAACCAAGGAUAUUAGACCUCACAAGCGAGUCAGAAAACCUCAGGGGGACAUCCAUGAAAAUACGUACCCCGGCCACUGUCGGCCACGUGCUUGGCCGUCCCUGAGGCCCCGCUGGUGCCCAGCCCUAUUCUAAGCACUCCUCAUAUUUGAUUCAUCCCCAUUGAUGGGGAGGCACCGGCUGCCCCCCGGACACAGCAGGGGGCUGGUUUAUCCCCGCCUCUGCGGCCUCACUCGGAUAAUUGAUCCAGGCUUUCUUUCCAGCUUAUCUCUUGGAACAUGGACCCUGGAAAGUCCAGUAUGAGGCCUAUACAGAAGAUUCUUUUCCUUCCCACAGGAUCUCUUCUCCAAUAGCGUUUACUGUCCAGAAUUACACCCAGGAAGAGGCAGCUGAGGGAGCGAUGGCCUUGAGGCAAAAAUUCAGAACCCGCUUGCCAGCACUCACCUUGCCGCUUACGUCUGUGUGGAUGUGACCCAGAUUGGCACAGGGGAUCAGGGCCCUGGUGGGUCUGGAAUCACCUUUAAGGAGCUCAGAGGUGCUUGCUCAGGGUCACACGAGCUAGGCAAGGCUCAGAACAGAGCCCCGGACAGCCUCAUCCUAAAGCCUGCUCUAUACGCCCGCCCCCACAGGGUCCCUAGGAAGCCCCGACCUUGCCCCUCGGACUUGCUGAGUCUUCCUCUGGCUUCAUUACUGGGCAGUGAGGGGGAAAUGAAACACCUGCCAUGUUCUUCCUCUUCCCAGCAAGGAGGCGCCUCAGGAACCCCCACUCCCAGCAGGACCCCGGCAGUCCUGAGGCUGUCCUGGGCCAGCAGGCUUUGUAAAUGGCUCACACAUGCAGAGCCUCUAAAUGAAACGUGGCCACCACCUGCUGGGGGUCAGAGUGUGUGUGUAUGUGUGUGUGUGUGUUCGCACGUGUGCAUGUGCCCGUGUGCAUGUGCAUUCAGGGAGCGAGCACAGAGAGAAGGAGAGACAGGAGACUCAGAGAUGGAGAGGCAGAGGGGACGCUUGGCGCACAGGACCCGAGACAGGAGAGGGGCUUGGCCCAGCCACGGAGCUCGCUGGUGGCUGAGUCCAAAACCGAAACCAGAUCCCCAGACCUUUUAUCCUUACAUCCUCUGGAGCUGCAGGAAAAGUACCAGUUUGCCCAAUUGGAGCCUGGGCUAAAGCCCUCUCUUAUAGCCCUCUUCUGAGCAUCCCCUCUAGAGCAAACAGGAGACACACAGGUGACUGGCACCAUGGCUCUGUGUGCUCUGCUUUAGGGCAGCUAAAGCAUGUGCGAGUCACUGCGCGGCCUCCCGCACUGCCACGCUGAGACACGCCCCACGCACCCUGCGGUCAGGUGUUCACAAGGGGCAAAACCACCUGCCCUUGGCCUCCUGGGUCCCUAUUUCCCCUCGGCCUUCUUAAGCCCUGACUCCUUUAUUUUGCUAACAUUUCUUACUCUAGAGUCCACAGAUUGGGGUGUAUUUACGGGUUGUUUUGUGUGUGUGUGUGUUUUGUUUUUUCAGGGCUACACCUGCGGCAUAUGGAAGUUCCCAGGCUAGGGGUCAAAUUGGAGCUGCAGAUGCCAGCCUUCGCCACAGCCAUAGCAACUCGGGAUCAAGCCGUGUCUGCAACCUACACCACAGCUCAUGGCCACCCUGGAUCCUUAACCCACUGAACGCAGCCAGGGACUGACCCCGCAUCCUCAUGGAUACUAGUCGGGUUGGUAACCCACUGAGCCACAACGGGAACUCCUGUGUUUACAUUUUUAAAUGAUGAGAGCUGCCCAUCCAAUAUUCAGGCUACAAUUUCCAUUCCUCAAUGGAUAAUAUGUGAAUUCUUUCCACCAGAAGUGGACCAUUGAGGAGUUCCCAUUGUGGCCCAGCAGAAAUGAAUCUGACUAGCAUCCAUGAGGAUGCAGGUUCAAUCCCUGGCCUCGCUCAGUGGAUUAAGGAUCCCGCGUUGCCGUGCGCUGUGGUGUAGGUCACAGACAUGGCUCAGACCCCACGUUGCUGUGGCUAUGGUGUAGGCUGGCAGCUGUAGCUCUGAUUUGACCCCUAGCCUG